ACCUUUGCCUGAAGUGCCAGCUGAAGAGCCGCCACAGCCCUUUUCUACAAGAGCCAGAGACUCUGUGAGCUGGAUUGAAGGCCUGCAGCCCAAGGAGCCCCAGAGGACCAUCCAUGCUGAGGAGCUUGGAGACCCUGAUGCCCCACAGACAGCAGCUUCUAGAACUAUGAUGGAGACUGAGAAGAUUUUGAAAUGGAUCCUGGAAAGUCAGCAGCAGCAGGCAACCCAGCAGCAGCAAUAGCAGGCCCAGCUGAUGCAGGAGAUAGCUUGUCAACACCAGCUCCAGAUGACCCAGUAGCAGGAGCAGCAGCAUCUGCUUUGAGAAUUGGCUAUCCAGCACCAGAUCCAAUAAGAACGCUUGAUCCAGCAAAUGGCUGCAUUGAUGUGCCUGACCAGUGCCCCAAACCUCAGCCCAGUUGGACAGGCCCCGGGGGCUCUUCCCCCAAGUCUGCCAAUACAGCUGUCAAAAAUGGGACCUAGUGAUGACCUCGAGGCAUUUUUGGUGACUUUCAAAUGGGUAGUAACCGCUGCCAGGUGGCCACCAGAGCACUGGGCUCCCUUGUUAGCACCCUACCUGAUGGGGUCAGCCCAGGUGGCCUACCGGGGGCUAGACCCACAAGACACCCAAGUAUAUUAGAGAGUGAAGGCUAGCAUCCUGGACCAUACAGGAAUCAACCCCGACAAAUACCGAUGGCGCUUCCACCAAGAAAGGUACCCACAGGGGGCUAGACCUCGGGUGGUAGCCCAGCAUCUGAGGGACAAUGCCUGGUGAUGGUUAGAGCCAGAGAAACAGUUGGGGGCUAAAGUAGCAGAGACUGUUGUAUUGGAGCAGUUUAUCCAGAUCCUCCUGAGUGGAGGGAAGGAGUGGGUACAGCGGCACCAGCGGAGAGCGCUGACAGAAGCUGUAGAGCUGAUGGAGGACUACUUGAUGGCUGAUGGGCCGGAGAUGCAACUGAGGCAGCCUGGGAGUCGGAGGAGGAAGAACAAACCGGGUGAGGGGAACUCUCGCAAAAUGGAUUCAGGGAGAUCACAGCCCCUUCCCCAGGCACCACCUAAAACCCCAACCCUCGAAUGCUGGAGCCCAAUCAGCUGAGCCUGGACUGACAAGGUAGAUGGCCUGCAAGAAGGGCAGAGCCCACUGAAGACAGAUCCUGGGACUGGAGGAACCCAAGGCCAUUGCUGGCAGUGUGGCCAAGAGGGGCACUUUCGGCAGGACUGCAGUUAUGGGCAAGUCUAUAUGGCUGUCACCUGAGCCAAGAGGAAAGACCCAGAAAAACUUGUAGUCCCAGUCCAAGUGGAAGGAAUCCCUACAACAGCCUUAGUAGACUCAGGCAGGAGUCAGACAAUUAUUUGGGAGGGGCUCGUCUCCAGCCUUGAACUCUCCAGGAAGAGUAUACAUCUACAGUGUAUUCAGAGAUAUACAGCCUUACUCAACUGCCUGGAUAAGACUUGAGAUUUAUGGCCAGGGAGAAACUCUCCAAGUCAGCAUGGCUCCCAGGCUAGCCUACCCCGUGGUGUUAGGGCAAGACUGGCCAUAAUUUCAGGAAAUCCUGCAAGGCCACAGCUGCCAACAUCUGGGAGGGGGAGGUGCAGGAUCAAUGAGGGGGGACGCCUUGGCCACCCUACAGAAGCCGAUCCUGGAGAAGGGCUGUCUAAACCCCUGGAGCCACCCACUGAGUCCCCUCCAGGCACAGGACACCCUGUCAAAGAUCUCCAGGCAGAGUUGGAGCGUGACAGACUUCAUCCAAUAGCAAAGGGAAGAUCCGAAUUUAAGCUGGGCCUGGGAGCAGGCAACAACCCCAGACCAAGAGGGGGACGAUACACCACACCUGCCUCAAGGACCAUGGUUCGAGAUCCGGAGGGACAACCUCUACCGGGUGGUACAAGAACCCCAAAUGUGGGAAGUUAUCUGACAGUGCUUAGUGCCCUGGAGAUUGCGCCAGAGCCUCCUGCGGCUGGCUCACACAGAACCCUAGAUGGGGCAUCUGUGUAGAGAGAAGACCCUCCAGAGGAUAGCACACCACUUUUUUUGGCCUGGCAUACACCAGGAAGUAAGAGAUUAUUGUGCUUCCUGCCCUGAGUGCCAGUGGGCCAGACCAAAAGGAGUGCCUCUCUCGUACCUCUCCUCGUCAUAGGCAUGCCAUUUGAAUGAUUUGGUAUGGAUCUCGUAGGGCAGGUAGAGAAGAGCGAAAAAGGGAACCAGUUCAUCCUCGUACUGGUCAAUUAUGCAACAGGCUACCCUGAGGCUACUCCCUUGCACACGGCUACGGCCCCUAACAUCACGGCAGAACUAGUGAAGAUUUUCACUUCAGUUGGGAUAUCCAAAGAGAUCCUGACCAGUCAGGCACUAGUGUGUCCUCCAAAUUGAUAGCUGACUUAUGCCACCUCAUGAACAUCUGGACCCUCAAGACUUCAGUGUACCAUGCACAAACUGAUGUUAGUGGAAUCUUUAAUGGAAUCCUUAAGUCAAUGCUAUGCAAGUUUGUAGAAGAUGACCCCCGACAUUCAGACUUGCUGUUGCCCACCUUAUUGUUCGCAAUGUGGGAGGUCCCUCAAGCCUCCGCUGGGUUCUCUCCCUUUGAGCUCCUCUAGGGGAGACAACCCCAGGGCAUCCUUAGUCUCCUGAGAGAAGACUGGGAGGCACAAAAGACGUGCAUCUUAGGAACUACUCAUUAUGUGUUAUGACUCCGUGAGCGUCUCCAGGCCUUGGGCGCAUUCGCUCGAGAGAACUUGUUAUGGGCCCAGCAAACAGGAGCAAUAAUAUAACAAAAUACACAACUUUGAGCCAGGGGACCAGGUUCUACUAUUAUUACCCUCCGCCGAGUCAAAGCUAUUAGCCAGGUGGCAAGGCCCCUUUGAGGUGUCCCACCGGGUAAGACAAGUGGACUAUGAGAUCAGGCUGCUGGGUAGUGGAAGGAGGUAUGCACAUACCACGUGAACUUGUUGAAAGCCUGGAAGGACCAAGAGGCUCUAUUUAUCACUCCUUGACCCCCUGAACUGGAAUUGGGACCAUUGGUGGGCAGACCCCUGGAUCCAGGGCCAGUGGUAAUGGGAGAGGGCCUUAGCCUAUCACAACAAGAUAUCCUGGAAGUCCAAUACGAGUUACCUUGUCAAUGCAUCCAGGACAGACUGACCUCCUAGGCCAUCACAUUGCAACAACACUGGGGCAGAGGGUAAGACAACCACUGACCUCUCCCCAGGAAAAUGUGGGACACAGUACACCAAGAAUUAGAGAUGAUGCAUUAGAUGGGAGUCAUGGAGAAAUCCAGGAGCGAAUGGCAAAGUCUGAUCGGAUUGGUUCCAAAACCUAGGGGGGUCAUCGACUUCUGCAUUGAUUUUCGAAAAGUCAAUGCUAUUUCCCAGUUCAAUGUGUAUCCAAUGCCCCUCAUCGAAGAACUCCUCAGGUGAUUGGGGGAGCCAAAUAUUUGUUGACCUUGGAUCUAACAAAGGGAUAUUGGCAGAUACCCCUAACAUCUGACUCCCAGGCGAAGACUGCCUUUCCUAUUCCAUAUGGCCUCUUCCAGUUCAUAACAAUGCCUUUUGGACUACAUGGGGCAGCCGCUACCUUCCAACGAUUGAUGAACUGAGUACUGCAGCCUCACAACCGAUAGGUGGCGGCAUACAUAGAUGACAUUGAGAUCUAUAGCAGCAGCUGGGAGUACCACCUUUGACACCUAACCAGUGUUUUUAAGGCCCUUCGGGAAGCAGGUCUCAUGGCCAAUCCUGCAAAAUGCCAUCUCGGACAGGCAGAGGUGACCUACCAUUGGUAUAUAGUGGGAAGGGACAAGCUAUGCCCUCUGAUUGACCAGGUGAAGGCUCUAACUGAUACCCCAGCGCCAACCACAAAAAAGCAAGUGAGCCAAUUCCUGGUAUUGGCCGGAUACUAUCGGUGCUUUGCACCAGGCUUCACAACAAUAGCAGCCCCCCCCACACACACACUCUGACCUGACCAAGAACUCUCAACCCCAGCAACUGCGGUGGUCCAGUAAGUAUGAGGAGGCAUUCCAGACCCUGAAGAAACAGCUACCUCAGGAACCAGUCCUCAUAUAUCCAGACUUCUCAAAGGACUUCAUACUGCAAACAGAUGCCUCUGAGGUGGGAUUAGGGGCUCUCGUCACAGGAAAUCAAUGAGGAAGAACACCCCGUCUUGUAUCUGAGUCGUAAACUGUUCCCCAGAGAAACAUAUUACUCAAUGAUUGAGAAGGAGGCCUUGGUGAUAAAGUGGACUAUUGACACCCUGUGCUCCUAUCUACUCGGCAACAUCUUCACAUUGAUUACUGACCAAGCAUCCCUCUGGUGACUGCACAGCAUGAAGGAUACCAACCCCAGGAUUAUGCAUUGCUACCUCUCACUCCAAUCAUAUGAUUUCCGUGUCUGUCAUCAACCUGGUAAGGCUCACGGGGGGGCAGGGGGAUGACUGGGUGUACAUACCCCGCACUGGAGAGGAAAGGGUUAACCCCACAUUAUAGGCAUUGGAAGUCCCGCCCCUCAGGCAGUGCUGGUCAUGCGCCAACUGCUGCAUCAGUAUAAAAGGGAGCAGCCCAGCUCAUUCUGGGCUGACUGCUGGAGGGGAAGGAUCUUUAGCCAAAGCUCUAGCUGAAGAGCUGCCACAGGCCUUGCCUGCAAGAGUCAGACCCUGUGAGCCAGAUUGGAGGCCUGGAGCCCCAGAGGACCAUCCACACUGAGGAGCUUGGAGACCCUGACACCCCAUGGACAGCAGCUUCUGGAACUACAGUAGGCAGUGACUCAGAAUUUUCUUGUCUGGACAUUAUUUUCUUCUGAUUCAGAGCAACAACAACAUUCAACAUGUCAGAACUUUCUGCAGAAUGGAAAUGGUUUUCCAACCAGCCCUACUAAGGGGUUGGUAUUAAUUGCAUACCUUCUUCCUAGCUGCUGCUCCUUUUAGUUGUCAUCAGCAAACAUGGAAAUCUAGUUUUCAACACCCUCAUUUAGAACAUUGUAUAAAUACAGUCCCUCCCUUGCCAGGUUUCUCAGUGUUCACAAACUAAUCUUGCCUUUUAAAGUGCCUCUUUCCUGUGUUCAAACAAGAUAUGGUACAUCAGAUAUUCAUGUUCAAUGGAAACUCAUAAAUAGGAGUUGAUAAAUCUCAAACUUCAGAGAUUGGU